rnacentral:lncRNA from 1 species
GUCAUAUUUUGCAGUGAAUGCUUUCUAUACUAUCAAAGAUCUGGACUAGACAAAUUCUUAAAAGGUUGAAAUACUUAGAAACGUAGAAGAUUUGAUGGUAGAAAAAGAGAUUUGAGUUCUCGAUCCAAGUUAUGAUGUUUCAAUGUUUCUUUCUUCCUAUAGUUGUCAUGUUUUAUUAUAAUAGGUAUAUCAAGAUUUUAGGGAAUUUUGAUGACAUUCAUAUUGACUUUAACUACAUAACUGAUCAUGUCCAUUUCAUUACAUAGUAGCUAAUUUCUAGGUAUUGUAUAGCUCCUGUUUUGCCGAAGUUGCAUAUUUUGCAUUGGCCUAGUAACUGCUGGCAGCAUAUGAAAAUGCUUCAAAUUGAAAACUAGUUGCAAAAUAUUCUCAAUCUUGCUUUUAUUCAUAAAUCCGACAUGUAGACAGGUUAAGAGGUUUGCUGGCUAUUGUCACAACUUUUUAUAAGAUAUAGAUGAUUUCAUUACUACUUAAAUGGAAGGAGCGAAGGAAGUCAAAGGUUGUUUUAGCCAUGUUCUUACAUAGCACUAAUUUCAGCACAUGCUAUGCAAGUAAAAAUGAAUCGAGGGAUGUAUAAUGUUUGUUGUCAAAACAAAGAGGAAGGGAGCUCUAACUAUGCACCUUAGUUCAUUUACAAUGACAAAAGUCGUAGUGCUAGUUUAAACUGCAAAUGCAUAGAAGGAUUCUUAUCAUAUGUCAUUUGAUGAAAUGAAAUAGCUUGCACUGUACCAUGCUUCUUCUGUUC